GGCCUUGCCAGAACUAAAAGAGAUACAGUUUAUUUGAAAAGCCGAAUGCAGCAGCGUCUGGGCUGAGGAUCAAGACGCCUGAGAGUCGCUUGGCAUCUCUAUGUUCGCAGCAAUUUCGAACCGGUUCGUGGGGCAAAGGCCAAGAAAGGCGUUCUCGAGCCAGCCGGAUCCACAGAGCUGUGACAGCUAGUGCUGAACAAAGGAAUGGAGCAUCUGGUGCAUUGUCAAUCCAUACUGAAGAAUCUCAAUUGAGGCUAUGGUGUUCCAGCUCCCCAUUUAACCAUGUCAAUACCCUAUAAAAUCUCUCUCCUGAUCUUG